GCUGGGCACGUGACACAUGCCUGUAAUCCCAGGCCUUGGGAGGCUGAGGCAGGAUGAUUGCAAGUUCAAAGUCAGCCUCAGCAUUUGCAAGGCACUAAGCAACUGAGACCCUGUCUCUA
rnacentral:sRNA from 1 species